rnacentral:misc_RNA from 1 species
AUAAUAUAGCCUCAAUAUCAACAUCUCAAGUUGGAUGCUUAAUAGAAUGAACAUAAAGUAUCAAAUAUUCCAGCACGAAUACAUGAUCAUUACAAAGUUGAUUGGCGCAAAACUCUAGAGUAACAAACCAACUGAAAUGUUUAAACAAGAUAGGAAUAACACAACACCCAAGAAGUCGUGAGAGGCACACCAGCGCACUAUAUGUUGUUUGGUCAUUGAUCGAUAGUAAAAACUUCUCAAUCUCAUUUAAGCCCUCCCAUUCCACUCUUCAUAGAACUCCUUCAGAAAAUCCUCCAUAAAUUUGUGCCUUUUCUCAGCCCUUCUCUUACCAGCCUUUGUCUUCAUCAAGU